AAACACACAAGCAAAGAUGAAAGCUCAACAAGAAAGCACACAAGCAAUGAUGGCUAUGCUUAACACUAUGAAAUCCGAAAUGGACCGAUUAACACAAGCCUCAAUUAAAGGAAACUCACAGAGUUCUGCGCAAUUGGGUGAAGAUUAAGGCCAUUGCAUAAGCUUCCCUCAUUUUUUGGUAUAUGAGUAUGUCCCGGAAUAUGAUGAGAUUACAUCUGAGUUGAUAUGGGAGGUGGAAAGACUAAGUUAUGUUCUUGAAUCAAGUCCUAAUUAUUGUAUAUCCUUUUUUGGCUCAAAAACAAUUAUAGCUAAAGCUACCAUUCAUAUCUAUUGUAUCCACUAAGAACAUUGAUCAUGUCUUUUUUGGGUACAAGUUUCUUAUACAUGUUCAUGUUGAAUACAGUUUCAGACUUUGUUUUUGUGUGAAGAAAAUCUGGAGUGAAAAGUGCUCAUUUUUUGUC